rnacentral:rRNA from 1 species
CCUACGGGAGGCAGCAGUUGGGAAUAUUGGACAAUGGGGGGAACCCUGAUCCAGCGACGCCGCGUGAGUGAAGAAGUAUUUCGGUAUGUAAAGCUCUAUCAGCAGGGAAGAAAGAACUGAAGGUACCUGACUAAGAAGCCCCGGCUAACUACGUGCCAGCAGCCGCGGUAAUACGUAGGGGGCAAGCGUUAUCCGGAUUUACUGGGUGUAAAGGGAGAGUAGACGGCGAUGCAAGUCUGAAGUGAAAGGCGGUGGCCCAACCCCCGGACUGCUUUGGAAACUGUAUGGCUGGAGUGCAGGGUAGGUAAGUGGAAUUCCUAGUGUAGCGGUGAAAUGCGUAGAUAUUAGGAGGAACUCCAGUGGCGAAGGCGGCUUACUGGACUGUAACUGACGUUGAGGCUCGAAAGCGUGGGGAGCAAACAGGAUUAGAUACCCCUGUAGUC